UCCCUGGUGGCUCAGAUGGUAAAGAAUUUGUCUGCAAUGCAGGAAACCCAGGUUCAAUCCCUGGGUUGGGAU
rnacentral:tRNA from 1 species